rnacentral:rRNA from 1 species
GACGAACGCUGGCGGCGUGCUUAACACAUGCAAGUCGAACGGAAAGGCCCAGCUUGCUGGGUACUCGAGUGGCGAACGGGUGAGUAACACGUGGGUGAUCUGCCCUGCACUCUGGGAUAAGCCUGGGAAACUGGGUCUAAUACCGGAUAUGACCGACUGUCGCAUGGUGGUUGGUGGAAAGCUUUUGCGGUGUGGGAUGGGCCCGCGGCAUAUCAGCUUGUUGGUGGGGUAAUGGCUCACCAAGGCGACGACGGGUAGCCGACCUGAGAGGGUGAUCGGCCACACUGGGACUGAGACACGGCCCAGACUCCUACGGGAGGCAGCAGUGGGGAAUAUUGCACAAUGGGCGCAAGCCUGAUGCAGCGACGCCGCGUGAGGGAUGACGGCCUUCGGGUUGUAAACCUCUUUCACCAGGGAAGAAGCGUGAGUGACGGUACCUGGAGAAGAAGCACCGGCCAACUACGUG